CAAACAAUGUGACAUAAAUAGUGCAAUAUAUUUUUUCAUCUUUUUUUUCUUUCUUUCUUCUUUAUUCUUCGCCAUGUCGUUUUUUUUCUCUUAUUUUUUUGCCUUCAUUCUUCUUUUUUAUCCCUUUGCCACCCAGUUCGCCUUGAUAACGUGACCGUCAUCACCACCUUCUUUCCAAUAAAAAAGCAAUUAAUAUUUUUUUUUUAAGAAAAAGGUAGCACGCUACCUACUUCAUUCAUUAAACAUAUGAACUAAGCUACAGGAGUGAGUCAACACGGCCUGGGGGGGGGGGUGGACACACUAGAACUAACGAUUAUCGAUUACCACACACACACACACACUAGAACUAACGAUUAUCGAUUACCAACAUGACGGCGAUUAGUAGAAAGAGAUUGCUUCC
rnacentral:lncRNA from 1 species